UUUUGGCGACCGCAGAUAGGAAUCUUCCACAAUGGACGAAAGUCUGAUGGAGCAACGCCGCGUGAGUGAUGAAGGUUUUCGGAUCGUAAAACUCUGUUGUUAAAGAAGAACAAGUGUUAGAGUAACUGUUAACACUUUGACGGUAUUUAACCAGAAAGCCACGGCUAACUACGUGCCAGCAGCCGCGGUAAUACGUAGGUGGCAAGCGUUGUCCGGAUUUAUUGGGCGUAAAGCGAGCGCAGGCGGUUUUGUAAGUCUGCUGUGAAAGCCCUCAGCUCAACUGAGGAAGUGCAGUGGAAACUACAAAACUUGAGUACAGAAGAGGAAAGUGGAACUCCAUGUGUAGCGGUGAAAUGCGUAGAUAUAUGGAAGAACACCAGUGGCGAAGGCGGCUUUCUGGUCUGUUACUGACGCUGAGGCUCGAAAGCAUGGGUAGCGAACAGGAUUAGAUACCCUGGUAGUCCAUGCCGUAAACGAUGAAUACUAGGUGUUGGAGGGUUUCCGCCCUUCAGUGCCGCAGCUAACGCAUUAAGUAUUCCGCCUGGGGAGUACGACCGCAAGGUUGAAACUCAAAGGAAUUGACGGGGGCCCGCACAAGUGGUGGAGCAUGUGGUUUAAUUCGAUGCUACGCGAAGAACCUUACCAGCUCUUGACAUCUUCUGCCAACCCAAGAGAUUGGGCGUUCCCUUCGGGGACAGAAUGACAGGUGGUGCAUGGUGUCGUCAGCUCGU
rnacentral:rRNA from 2 species